rnacentral:rRNA from 1 species
UACGUAGGGGGCAAGCGUUGUCCGGAUUCAUUGGGCGUAAAGAGCGUGUAGGCGGCCAGGUAGGUCGGUUGUGAAAAACUGGAGGCUCAACCUUCAGAGGUCGACCGAAACCAUCUGGCUAGAGUCCGGGAGAGGAGAGUGGAAUUCCUGGUGUAGCGGUGAAAUGCGCAGAUAUCAGGAAGAACACCAAUGGCGAAGGCAGCUCUCUGGGACGGUACUGACGCUGAGACGCGAAAGCGUGGGGAGCGAACAGG